AAUCGCCAAUCUUCAAUAAAACAAAAUAGAAUAAAAUAAAAUAAUUAAUGGAGUAAGUAGCAUAAAUAGCGGAUGACUAUUAAAUACCCUAGAAGUUAGUGGAUGUAACAGUAGUUUCAAUUCAGUCCGUACUUGAUCUAGGUGUAGAGUUUUUCCAGGUUGUGUUCCAGGGUGAGAGGUGAGGCAAGCAGCAUAAAGCCGGUAUGAAGAGGGGAGAUAGCCGUCCAGUACGAGGGCGAAGUUAUCCAAUUAUUGUCUAACCAGGGAGCAACUUUGCUUCACCAAGUGAGCGAGUGAGAAGCAGAACGAGAGAGCACUAGCUAGUUAGAAUACUCGUAUUCGAGGGAAGGCCAGAGCCAGAGCCAGAGCCAGAGUCUACGAGAGAUUUACUCUACCCUACAUCCCAUCAGCAUUCUGGUACCACCCCUAGCGACAAUAAACUCUCAAGUUUGUCUCCAGCACUUGUUUCGUCCCACCAGUCUGCCAUUAAUACUCUUCUCGUGUCGCUGCACUCUCUCUCCAGAGUUUACGUAAAGACGGGAAAGUAGGUAAGCACACCAACUAUAUAACGGCCACCAAAUAGCCGUAGGGAGAUGAAUAAUAGUGAUGACUAUCCGUGGUUUAAUGUCUUUGAGAGGUUGUCUCAGGUAUUUAAUUAAUGAUUAAUAAUACUGAAGUUAGCUGUCAAUUUUACAAUUUUUUACAAUAAUUUGAACAAGUUUUAUCCAAGGACCUUAAGUAUAAUUUACAUUGUUAGUAUAAUAUAAAUAAAUAAAAAUUUAUACAAAGAAAAAAAUAUUUUA